rnacentral:lncRNA from 1 species
GGUCAAUAAAUACAUAUACUUAUCAAGAGAACACAUUUAGGUUUGGGAAUUCAGUGUCACCUGGAAUCUGAUUUUCAGAUCAAUAAAUAAUGUUUUUGUCUAAUUUUGCUUUUCAUUUCAGGGUACUACUACCUUUCCCAUGAGUGAAGAUAUGAUGGAAUGGAAGGCUAAUAUUGAAGGUCUACAGAAUUCAAUCUGGCAGGGUUUGUAUUUUCCAAACCAACCUGUUUUUAAAAGUUUCUACCAACAGCCUGCUUUCUUGACGUGUAUAAUUAUGUUGCAUUUUAUACUUUUCUGAAAUGCUUUAUGUGCAUAAGGUUGCAUGCUAUCAAGUCUCAGAAUUCUAAAAGUAUUCAUGUUAUAUUUCAUUGUAUGACUUUUCUUGCCACUUGUCGGCAUAGAUUGAAAUUUUUGUUAGUGUUUUCCUUGAUGCCAAAUCUUAAUUUUUAAAAUUUGUUUUGUUGUGGUUUGGGGUUUUUUUUUGUUUGUUUGCAGUGUUGGGGGAAAGGUUAUUACAAUGCUAUUAAUUUUUAAGAAGCAAAACAGUAAAGCAUAUCACCGAGAGUGUCUUCUAACAGACUUCCCUGAGAUCAGAGCACACCUGUUGGCUUCCUUUUCACUUCAGUAAUUUCCAGUCACUUCUAAUUUUUCCCUCUGCAUUCCCCCAAAUUUCCAUAAAUCAGAUUCUUGGAAGUCUGUGCCCCGUGAACUCUCAGGACCACGUGUUCAAUUCCACUCAUGGGAGAGGAAGGCACGUUCCCCGGGUGGGGCCAGCAGUGAGCCGACAGCUAGCUGCUGGGUUGUGCAGCUCACCGAGAAGCGGGCCAGGAUCGGAUCGGCUUCCAAGAAGGAUAAGUUUUCAAAGUGACAAUAAGAUUUACACCAGACUACAGCGUUGUCCCUCCAGCCGUGAGAUUUGUGACAAUUCCUUUUCAUCCAAAUGGUUAUGCUUUCUAACCCAGGGACAGAAAAUCCAGUGAACCUAGAAGCAGCCCAGAUGCUGACUAAAGAUCUGUGUACCGAAAAGUACUGCAAAGACUUUUCCAGGGACCGUCACAGAGUAAGCACUGCCUACUUGUUAUUUGGCCAUUAUUGCAUAUGCAUUAAACAUGUAUAGUGGAUAAAUGAUCUAGCAAAUAAAUUCUGUAAGGGAAUAUCUGAAUACUUUCUGCUUCUAUUUUCAGUGAUAAAAUAGCGCUAAGAUGUCUCUAUUGUAACUUUGUGUCACCCAAUCAGUGGGAUCCUUUUUUAAAGCCCUUCAAAGAUUUUAGGCUCAGUAUCCUUGCAUGGCUUGGUCUAUGGAAGGACGAGGAGAACUCAUCUGCCCAUCGCAGUGUGACAUGUGACUCUCACAUCUGUCAUGGCUAUUUCCCAGACUUCUCUGCGGUACCCUCAAUGUUACUGAUACAGCCCACUUCCCCUUUGAAUAACAAGGUAUUCAUGAUUUCUUCUGGACCUUCUCUCCCUGUGUAUCCCUUCUAACAGUCCUCAUGGAAAUGCCGUGCGGAGCUCUCUGGUCUCUCUGCUUCAUUGUCCAGUGGUUUUCUGAUGCUCUCGGUAUCCUGUCAGCGGCCUCUUGGUGACUGAACUCGGCUGUCCCCAUUUCUCCUGUGUUCCUCUCCAGUAGCAGAGCCUGAGGGGCUUCCCACAGGUGGCGGAGGGACAUAGUCCUGCCUGCCCACCCUGCCUUCCCCUGGCAGCACACGGCGACCUUGCUGUCAGCUGGGGCCGCACCUCCCCGGCCAGCCCCUGUCCCUUCUGGUGCCUCUCUCCCCACAUUUCUCUUCUCUUCUCCCACUCUCCUGGGACGGCCUGGGUCCAUCGGCCGGGUCUGUGCAGCUGUGGCCAAGGUCAGUGGUUUCUCUGCCUCGGAGAUUCUGGGCCUGGUGCAAACCCGGCCGCAUUGAUCAGGCAUCUUUGCGAGCAUCUCCAGGUCCAUCUCGGGUUCCCGGGUCCCUGGAACACCCGCUGGCACGCCGAGGCUGGUUCCC